UUGGUAGCUUUUCAAUCUUGAUCUAAGCGCAGUUGAAAACGCAGUAUGAACACACAAAUGUGGGUCAGGAAUGGUGCAUACUCGUGACACCUUAUCUUCUAAAAAAAUCGAGGUGGUCUACCAGCAUUUUAAGGAUUAAGGUAGCGUCUUAUUAGAAGCCAAUGGAAAGCAAGGAUUUGUACAUCAUUAUUGUGAUCGCACCACCAAUUACUGCUUUUACUUCGCCUAAAACACCUUGUCUAAACUUGUUGUUUUUAGACAAGGUGUUUUGAAUACGACCUUAACCACUGCUUGCAAAAUUUACUUUCAGGGGUUUCUUCGUAUACCUACCAAUACUCUCUUGAAUUCUAACGCAAUUUUAUUGUAGCUUCAAAGUUACAAAAAGGCCUAACCUAGAUUUACCAGUAACAUAUUUGAUGCGUGAGUGAAGGAAUUUUUUAGGUGAAGGUAUUAUUGAGUGAAGGUAUUAUUUUAUCGUGUCUAAAAAUUCUGUGACUUUAAACUCUUUGGCUUCGUCUGAAAAAAGGUACCAACAAAGAGUUGCAGUGUGUAGCAAUAGCGGCUGUAUAACGAGAAAGAAUGCGAAACUUGACAUCCGAUGGGAAAAUAGGAAAUGGAACUAGCACAGGGAGUGACAUGCUUGUGUGCUGUGAGACGAACGGAUAUACCGUCGCAGGAGUCGCUAUCGCACUUGUCCUCUGGCUAAUGUUGUUCCUUGUGGUACUCAAAAACAUGGAUGCAAUAAAAAAACUUAAGAAAAAGAGAGGGAAGAAAGGCGAGCUCGAAGACCUGAAAGUCAGCACGCUGCCUGACGACGUAUAAGAGGGAAAAGGCGAUUGUUUGGGUCACUCACGACGGUAAUUUAGCAAUAGAAGAACUUUUGUUAGAUAAUGGGAGUUAGAAUACUAGCAGCCGUUUUUCCCCUUAGAAUUUUACCAUAUUCCAAGCCCUUUAAAACAAUAUGUUUAUCUCUCACAAGCAAAAAUAUAAAUAAAGAUGGCUGCCUGCAAACUCUGA